rnacentral:rRNA from 1 species
GACGAACGCUGGCGGCGUGCUUAACACAUGCAAGUCGAACGGAAAGGCCCUGCUUUUGUGGGGUGCUCGAGUGGCGAACGGGUGAGUAACACGUGAGUAACCUGCCCUUGACUUUGGGAUAACUUCAGGAAACUGGGGCUAAUACCGGAUAGGAGCUCCUGCUGCAUGGUGGGGGUUGGAAAGUUUCGGCGGUUGGGGAUGGACUCGCGGCUUAUCAGCUUGUUGGUGGGGUAGUGGCUUACCAAGGCUUUGACGGGUAACCGGCCUGAGAGGGGGACCGGCCACAUUGGGACUGAGAUACGGCCCAGACUCCUACGGGAGGCAGGAGUGGGGAAUAUUGCACAAUGGGCGGAAGCCUGAUGCAGCAACGCCGCGUGCGGGAUGACGGCCUUCGGGUUGUAAACCGCUUUCGCCUGUGACGAAGCGUGAGUGACGGUAAUGGGUAAAGAAGCACCGGCUAACUACGUG